rnacentral:lncRNA from 1 species
UAACUCUCACUCUGGACUUUCGAACAGGAACAUUCAACUCCCUUACACGGGACUACCACUACUGGGAUUAAACCAGAACAAGAAAGAUACUUUUUACCAGGCAAGUAACUACUCAUGUUACGCGGCAGGAAGUUUACCGUGAAAAAAGGCAGUGAAGUGAUUUCCCUUCUUAGCUUGGUCCAUUGAGAUUCUAUUUUGACGUUUUCUCGGGAUUUUUGAUAGCGAAGGUGUUUUGCCUCCUGGAAGGCAUCAUUGAAAUCAAAAGUUCACGUUUUCCCGGG